GACGAACGCUGGCGGCGUGCCUAACACAUGCAAGUCGAACGCGAAAGUCCCGCAAGGGAUAAGUAGAGUGGCAAACGGGUGAGUAACACGUGGGUGACCUGCCUUCGAGUGGGGGAUAACGUCCCGAAAGGGACGCUAAUACCGCAUAACAUCCUGCCUUUUAAGAGGUGGAGAUCAAAGCUGGGGACCGCAAGGCCUGGCGCUGGAAGAGGGGCCCGCGUCUGAUUAGCUAGUUGGUGAGGAACGGCUCACCAAGGCAACGAUCAGUAUCCGGCCUGAGAGGGCGGACGGACACACUGGGACUGAGACACGGCCCAGACUCCUACGGGAGGCAGCAGUGGGGAAUUGUUCGCAAUGGGCGCAAGCCUGACGACGCAACGCCGCGUGGAGGAUGAAGACC
rnacentral:rRNA from 1 species